GACGAACGCUGGCGGCAUGCUUAACACAUGCAAGUCGAACGGAAAGGCCCUGCUUUUGUGGGGUGCUCGCGUGGCGAACGGGUGAGUAACCUGUGAGUCACCUGCCCUUGACUUUGGGAUAACUUCAGGAAACUGGUGAUACUACCGGAUAGGUGCUCCUGCUGCAUGGUGGGGGUUGGACAGUUUCGGCGGAUGGGGAUGGACUCGCGGCUUAUUAGCUUGUUGGUGGGGUAGUGGCUUACCAAGGCUUUGACGGGUAGCCGGCCUGAGAGGGUGACCGGCCACAUUGGGACUGAGAUACGGCCCAGACGCCUACGGGAGGCAGCAGUGGGGAAUAUUGCACAAUGGGCGGAAGCCUGAUGCAGCAACGUCGCGUGCGGGAUGACGGCCUUCUGGUUGUAAACCGCUGUCGCCUGUUACGAAGCGGGAGUGACGGUAAUGGGUAAAGAAGCACCGGCUAACUACGUG
rnacentral:rRNA from 1 species